CUCUUUCCCUCUUUCUCCUUCUCUCUCUCUCGCUCAACACCCUCUCAUCUCUCUUUUCUGCUGCACCGUGAGCAACCCAAACAACCUGCGUUGCAAGUUGUGCACAAGACCAGCAGCCCAGUCACCAUCAUUGCCCUGAUUUUCCUGUCCCCGCUGCAUUAAAGUCGGCCCAAACGGAGAAACGAAUCUCCUGCGACUUCCUUUUAUUUUUCGGUUAGGCGGAGCCACCACAGAAGAAAAGAACCCCCAAACUUUAUGGCGAACACUGGCCUUCGUGGGCUUUUUCCGGUCACACACGUCCAUUCAACAACGAAGCAAUGGUAAUGUUGCUAGUGGAGAAAUUCUUAAUCCUUAUUCGUGCGACUCUUCUGCUAAGGAAUAUUUGACUUAGAAUCAAGGCACCUAAUCCCGGCGUGAAGGCACUUCCGCAGCAGCAUCUUCGG